rnacentral:rRNA from 1 species
GUAGGUGGCAAGCGUUGUCCGGAAUUAUUGGGCGUAAAGCGCGCGCAGGUGGGGUCUUUAAGUCUGAUGUGAAAGCCCCCGGGCUCAACCGGGGAGGGUCAUUGGAAACUGGGGAACUUGAGUGCAGGAGAGGAAAGUGGAAUUCCACGUGUAGCGGUGAAAUGCGUAGAUAUGUGGAGGAACACCAGUGGCGAAGGCGACUUUCUGGCCUGUAACUGACACUGAGGCGCGAAAGCGUGGGGAGCAAACAGGAUUAGAUACCCUGGUAGUCCACGCCGUAAACGAUGAGUGCUAAGUGUUGGGGGGUUUCCGCCCCUCAGUGCUGCAGCUAACGCAUUAAGCACUCCGCCUGGGGAGUACGGUCGCAAGACUG